UGCAGUCGAGGGGUAUAGGUUUUCGGACCUAGAGACCGGCGCACGGGUGCGCAACGCGUAUGCAAUCUACCUUUCACAGAGGGAUAGCCCAGAGAAAUUUGGAUUAAUACCUCAUAGUAUUAUAGAAUGGCAUCAUUUUAUAAUUAAAGUCACAACGGUGAAAGAUGAGCAUGCGUCCCAUUAGUUAGUUGGUAAGGUAACGGCUUACCAAGACUACGAUGGGUAGGGGUCCUGAGAGGGAGAUCCCCCACACUGGUACUGAGACACGGACCAGACUCCUACGGGAGGCAGCAGUGAGGAAUAUUGGACAAUGGAGGCAACUCUGAUCCAGCCAUGCCGCGUGCAGGAUGACGGUCCUAUGGAUUGUAAACUGCUUUUAUACAGGAAGAAACACUUGCUCGUGAGCAAGCUUGACGGUACUGUAAGAAUAAGGAUCGGCUAACUCCGUGCCAGCAGCCGCGGUAAUACGGAGGAUUCAAGCGUUAUCCGGAAUCAUUGGGUUUAAAGGGUCCGUAGGCGGUUUAGUAAGUCAGUGGUGAAAGCCCAUCGCUCAACGGUGGAACGGCCAUUGAUACUGCUAGACUUGAAUUAUUAGGAAGUAACUAGAAUAUGUAGUGUAGCGGUGAAAUGCUUAGAGAUUACAUGGAAUACCAAUUGCGAAGGCAGGUUACUACUAAUGGAUUGACGCUGAUGGACGAAAGCGUGGGUAGCGAACAGGAUUAGAUACCCUGGUAGUCCACGCCGUAAACGAUGGAUACUAGCUGUUGGGGGCAAUCUCAGUGGCUAAGCGAAAGUGAUAAGUAUCCCACCUGGGGGAGUACGUUCGCAAGAAUGAAACUCAAAGGAAUUGACGGGGGCCCGCACAAGCGGUGGAGCAUGUGGUU
rnacentral:rRNA from 1 species